rnacentral:rRNA from 1 species
AUUGAACGCUGGCGGCAGGCCUAACACAUGCAAGUCGAACGAGUGGCGGACGGGUGAGUAAUGUCUGGGAAACUGCCUGAUGGAGGGGGAUAACUACUGGAAACGGUAGCUAAUACCGCAUACCAUCGGAUGUGCCCAGAUGGGAUUAGCUAGUAGGUGGGGUAACGGCUCACCUAGGCGACGAUCCCUAGCUGGUCUGAGAGGAUGACCGGCCACAGUGGGACUGAGACAAGGGCCAGGAUCCUACGGGAGGGAGCAGUGGGGAAUAUUGCACAAUGGGCGCAAGCCUGAUGCAGCCAUGCCGCGUGUAUGAAGAAGGCCUUCGGGUUGUAAAGUACUUUCAGCGGGGAGGCGGUACCAGCAGAAUAAGCACCGGCUAACUACGUGCCAGCAGCCGCGGUAAUAC